UACGUAGGGCGCAAGCGUUGUCCGGAAUUAUUGGGCGUAAAGAGCUCGUAGGCGGUCUGUUACGUCCGCUGUGAAAACCCGGGGCUUAACCCUGGGCUGGCAGUGGAUACGGGUAGACUAGAGGCAGGUAGGGGAGAAUGGAAUUCCCGGUGUAGCGGUGAAAUGCGCAGAUAUCGGGAGGAACACCGGUGGCGAAGGCGGUUCUCUGGGCCUGACCUGACGCUGAGACGCGAAAGCGUGGGGAGCGAACAGG
rnacentral:rRNA from 1 species